GGCGCUGGGGGGGGAAUCGAACCCCGAGUUCAAACGAACUUGACGGAUCUGAAGUCCGCCCUGUGUCACCAGACACAGCACCCCGCGC
rnacentral:tRNA from 1 species